GACGUAGGAGGCGAGCGUUGUCCGGAUUCAUUGGGCGUAAAGGAGCGUGUAGGCGGCCCGGUAAGUCCGCUGUGAAAGUCCAGGGCUCAACCCUGGGAUGCCGGUGGAUACUGUCGGGCUCGAGUCCGGAAGAGGAGUGGUGGAAUUCCGUGGUGUGAGCGGUGAAAUGCGCAGAGUAUCGAGGAGGAACACCAAUGGCGA
rnacentral:rRNA from 1 species